rnacentral:rRNA from 1 species
GAUGAACGCUGGCGGCGUGCCUAAUACAUGCAAGUCGAGCGAACAGACGAGGAGCUUGCUCCUUUGACGUUAGCGGCGGACGGGUGAGUAACACGUAGGUAACCUACCUAUAAGACUGGGAUAACUUCGGGAAACCGGAGCUAAUACCGGAUAAUAUUUCGAACCGCAUGGUUCGAUAGUGAAAGAUGGCUUUGCUAUCACUUAUAGAUGGACCUGCGCCGUAUUAGCUAGUUGGUAAGGUAACGGCUUACCAAGGCAACGAUACGUAGCCGACCUGAGAGGGUGAUCAGCCACACUGGAACUGAGACACGGUCCAGACUCCUACGGGAGGCAGCAGUAGGGAAUCUUCCGCAAUGGGCGAAAGCCUGACGGAGCAACGCCGCGUGAGUGAUGAAGGUCUUCGGGUCGUAAAGCUCUGUUAUUAGGGAAGAACAAACGUGUAAGUAACUGUGCACGUCUUGACGGUACCUAAUCAGAAAGCCACGGCUAACUACGUG